UGUGAACUAAAGUUGAAGGGACUGUGACUUGUGGACGCGUCCAUGUGGGAGCAGGGUACCUCAAAGCAUCUGUGGCUGUGAAUAAUUCCAUGUCAGAACAGGUAUAUAUUGAAGCGUCUGUGGCCAUGGUUAUGUCUGUGUCACAGUGGGUAUGCCUCUGAAGAGAUUAUGGCCUAAGGACAAGUCCACACUGGAGAAGUUACACCUCGAAGCGUCUGUGGGUAACUCCAUGCUACAUCAGCAGAAAAAUCCUUCUCAUGAGGAUCAGAACAAAUGGCAAUGAGCAGAUAGUGACAGAGAGCCACGAUACCCUGUACAAAGUCCCACUCAAGGCUGUCCACAUCUGAUCUGCAGUACUUCUACUGUUUAAGCACAACACUUCUAACUGCGAACUGAAAAUGGCCUUUAUGGAAUCCUGCAGCACCAUCAAAAUCCUUAAAGACCAGACUGGAUGAAGGGUU